rnacentral:rRNA from 1 species
UACAGAGGGUGCGAGCGUUAAUCGGAAUUACUGGGCGUAAAGCGCGCGUAGGCGGUCUAUUAAGUCAGAUGUGAAAUCCCAGGGCUCAACCUUGGAACUGCAUCUGAUAUUGGUAGACUAGAGUUUUGGAGAGGGAAGUAGAAUUUCAGGUGUAGCGGUGAAAUGCAUAGAGAUCUGAAGGAAUACCAGUGGCGAAGGCGACUUCCUGGCCAAAAACUGACGCUGAGGUGCGAAAGCGUGGGUAGCAAACGGGAUUAGAAACCCUAGUAGUCC